AACGAACGCUGGCGGCAGGCCUAACACAUGCAAGUCGAACGCCCCGCAAGGGGAGUGGCAGACGGGUGAGUAACACGUGGGAACCUUCCCUAUAGUACGGAAUAGCCCAGGGAAACUUGGAGUAAUACCGUAUACGCCCGAAAGGGGAAAGAAUUUCGCUAUAGGAUGGGCCCGCGUAGGAUUAGCUAGUUGGUGAGGUAAUGGCUCACCAAGGCGACGAUCCUUAGCUGGUUUGAGAGGACGACCAGCCACACUGGGACUGAGACACGGCCCAGACUCCUACGGGAGGCAGCAGUGGGGAAUAUUGGACAAUGGGCGCAAGCCUGAUCCAGCCAUGCCGCGUGAGUGAUGAAGGCCUUAGGGUUGUAAAGCUCUUUUGGCGGGGACGAUAAUGACGGUACCCGCAGAAUAAGUCCCGGCUAACUUCGUG
rnacentral:rRNA from 1 species